UGUAUCAUUUGUGCGAAACCAGCUCGAAUCAUUUGGGCUUUUCUCCCAACUCUCUCACUUAUGGUUAGGGUUCUUGCGAGAAGAGAAGAAAAAAGGUAGAACCAGACAUGAGAUCAAUGAUGCGAGGUAGAAGGCUGAUCAGACUCUUCACGGCCCAAGAGGAAGCCGGCCCAUAAUGAUGAUCGGACCAGAAUGUUGAUCGAACCGAGAAGCGGUUGACGGCUGAAGAGAAGAGAGGUUAGAAUCAGUUGAAGAUUGAUUCGAGAAGCUUCCAAAGUUGUAACUGAUUCUUCCCCCUUUCCCCCUCUCUUUCUUUCUUUUUCUGCCUUUGAACUUUCCCUAUAUAAAGGGAAGUCUUGUAAAGUGAAUAAUACGAGUGGUGGGUGACAGACACCAUUCUUAGGUUUAGAUAGUGCACGGUAGUGGGUGACAGACGCUACCUAGCUUAGGGUUUUCAUUUUCGUCCAGUUUCAUUCUCGUAGUGUAGAUUCUGAUACUCCUGGACUGUUGAUCGAGCAAUCACGGUGGUGACAGCUUGUGAUAUUCUUGGCUUUGCUUCCACGGUGUUUUCUACUUUGUAAUAUGUCGUCUCAGUUUCAGACCAGUAGGCUAUAUACACUCUUCUUCCAAACGUUUCAAAAGCAAAUUUGCGAUUUUGAGAAUACAGUGCAGUAUGAGGAAGUUCUCAAGUGCUAGUUCUUGCUCAUUGUCAAGUCUUGUGAAUAGGAGAAGUUCGUGCUGUGUGCGUUAAAGUUCGGAGCGGUUCUCUUCAAGUUGGCUGAGUAGUUCACGUGCGAUUCAUUUGUCGAAGGAAUGUUCUUUCUAUUCUUAUUUGUAUUUCAUCCUAUUGUAAUUUGUGAACAAUAUUUUAGUAAAAAGGUUAAUCACUAUUUAUAGUGAUUAAUGACUAGACGUAGAAUCUUUUGAUUCAAACCAGGAUAAAAAUCAUUUGUGUGAUUUUUCUACUCCAUACACUCUUUAUAUUUUCUACACAUUAAAGAGUGGACCCAUUAUCAUUUUCACGCCUAUAAAUUAUUUUGGUCGAGUUAGGCCAUGCAUUUACACUUGUUUUUCUUUUUAUCAUUUAUAUUUUACUUACUAUUUCACGAGUUUCUCAUAGUUAUUUAUUUGUGUGGUAAACACUUUGCAGUUAUAUAUGCAAACGUAAAAUUUAAAAAAAUCCAAGUAAAUAAGCAACUGAAUGAUAUGAAAACGAGUAGAAGCUAAGCUAACAUAAUUUUAACUAGCAUAUUUUCAACUUCAGUUUUAUAAAAGUACAAACAGAUUUGGUCCCUCCAUCUUUGAAACUUAUUUGGCACGAAUGAGAGUCAAAGUGACUUUUUUCAACCUGAAAAGCUAUGGAAAGAGCCAAAUGCUGGACAAUGGGUCCAUACAUUAUCCUCAAACGCGAUAGCGUGCAAUAUCCUUCACUAAAUCAUUCAUUAAUGAACUGCAAUUUAUAGCCAUUAGAUUUAGAUUUCGAAAGCUGUCCAUGAACAAUGGUGUUGACUUGGAAAGACUUCAGCAUAAGGAAUUGUUAUAAAAAGCAUGAAUAGUUCAAAAGGUGAUUUUUGCUAAAGAUUAAUUAUAUUCCUCUACAAUUUCAACAUAUCAGGUUCAUUCUCCCCCCUUUGCUCUAUUUAGUUCCAACCUUCGAUUUCGUCCAUGAAUAGAUUUUUUUGCACUAAUUAUUUUUUCAAGAAAUAUUGAACAUGGGGAGUCAGGCAUGGUACUAAUUAACUCGCUGGUUUAAGUACUAUAUUGAAUUCGGAAUUCUUUUUAAAUGGGUUAUCUUUUGUUGUUCUGAACUGUCUAAUUCUGCUUUGGUUUCAAAUGAAUUAUCCUCAAUCUUGGAACCACGUUUUAUGAUUGAAAAAUGAAACUCUUUUACUGCUUUAGUGUUGUAUAUUGAUCAGUGCGUACUUGAUGCUAUUUUUAAUACGUAGUAAGAUAUUUUCUCAUUUUGCUUGUUGUUACGGGUGUAUGGGUCGGGUUUGUAAUUGGUCUCCAACACUGAGUAUUUUUUAUUCCUGGAUUUCUUAUCUGUGUCGCUCAGGUGUUUUUGUCACAUUUCAUAACCGAAUGGGGUGCUAGGUUGAGUCUCCUAGUCUCAAAUGAAGGCGAGGUCACUUUGGAGGACGUGAUUGAAGAAGAGAAUCUGGUUGAAGUGGAAGUCAAGGCCGAGCCUUAGACCGCUCGUUUGAAUUAGAAGUUUAGAUGUUAGUUUUCAUUCUGACGUUCGAUUAUUAAUUUUGUAAAACCGUUCGUCCCUGCUUCUAUUAUUCUGAUAGUACUGUAUGGAAUCUCUGUAACUAAAGUGUUUUGGCUUUUGAACUUUAAUCUUAGUGUAAAGACUGCAUUGUUUACUG